UACGGGGGGGGCAAGCGUUGUUCGGAAUUACUGGGCGUAAAGGGCUCGUAGGCGGCCAACUAAGUCAUACGUGAAAUCCCUCGGCUUAACCGGGGAACUGCGUCUGAUACUGGAUGGCUUGAGUUCGGGAGAGGGAUGCGGAAUUCCAGGUGUAGCGGUGAAAUGCGUAGAUAUCUGGAGGAACACCGGUGGCGAAGGCGGCAUCCUGGACCGAUACUGACGCUGAGGAGCGAAAAGCCAGGGGGAGCAAAGCGGGG
rnacentral:rRNA from 1 species